GGAUAAGCGUUCAGUUGACUAGCUUUAACACACAACCAACCUUGUUCACUUUAAGUAUAGAUUUCAGCGAGAUGUGUGCUUAUUUCACGUAAACCUCUACUGAUAGAAGUUUACAAAUAUUUACAAAACUGGCUUAUAGCAACGUUGGGAAAACGAAAAUAAUUGGAUUAGAUUUCUAGACAGUCAUAUCUUAGAAAGAGUAAUAUGAGGAUAUUUUUCCUUCAAGAAUAAUGUUUUUACCGAGAGAAAAGAAUUAUCGGCGAGCAAAAGCAAACGCAAUAUUCAGUAAGUUGUACUGUCAUAAAAAUUUAAAUUCUAGUUAAAUAAUUCUAACAUAUGUAUAUGUUCCUUUAACAUUUUGAUAUUGCUAGGUGUAUGUUUCAAGUAUUUUGUUAUGCAGUGCAUUCGCGAUGCUACGAAUCCCGAUUUAACGAAAUAUCCGUAUACCACGAAAAGUUGCUGUGGUCCCGACUGUUCCUUCUUAUUUCUAUGUUACAAAAUCGCGGUUUUACGAAAAUACGAAUGUAUUGUUAUGCAUUCUUUCGCAUACACGUACCGGCUAAGUUUUCACACCUUCCAUUCUUACUGUGGCAAGUCCAAGGCUAUACUGAACGAUCUUCACGGUGAACCGUAAAAUCGCUUUAGAGCGUAAUGUGUCACUAUCCAUUAGCUGGAACUGUACUUAAAGUGUGAAAAUUUAAAAUUCAAAUGCAAAACACAUACGCUGUAAACGCUGACAAACGUUACUUGACAUGAGGGUGAUCAAUGUUUUGUCUGAUAAAUAUCGGACCGGAAGGCACACCAGUCAUAUACCCGCUACGAUAUCUAAACUUCUCAUAUAAUUAUUCCGAAGUUAAGAAUUAAUAUUAAAGCCCUGAUCAUCUUUCAAUUCCGUGCAAUUCAGUGAAGGGUUCAGGUCAUUUGGAAGGAUAGCUGAAUCGGAAUAGGCAAUUUACGCGUUUCACUAUAUGUUUUAUAUAUGCAUUUGUGUUUUAUGUAACGUGAACAAGAGUGCCAGCAUGUCACAAUAUACGCCCCUCACAGCAAAUUAGCAAUUGUAUUUGUAAAUGGAAUCUUAAUUUUGUUGUUGUUUAGUAAUUAUUGUAAUUCUUUUGUUUUUCUAGUCCACAAAAAACUCCUUACCAGGGAGAGAUACCUUAAAAUACACCUGAAGUUUGAAAGUAACAUCUAUACUGUGCCUCAAAAAAGUGGCCUUGGUUUUUUCCUACGGUCAGUUAUAAAAAAGUUACAAUAUAGGUUGUUUAUAAUAACAACUAAUGGAAGUUAAUCUUAAAAAACAAAAACAAAAUGUAAGUCCACACAAAAACCCUUACCCGGUAGAGAUAGGUCAAAAUAAUACAACUCAACAUUGGAUGUAAUAUGCAUGUUGUACUACAGAAAAGAGGUCUCGAUUUUCCCUACGACAAGUAAUGAAAAAGUUACAUUAUAAGCUAAUUAUGGUAACAGCAAAGGGACGUUAUUCUAAAGAAGGGACCUGCGCAUGACACUCUGUCUCAUGAUGGUGAACAAAAGUUUCCUAAAAAUCCCUCCAUGCAUGAAGAAGAAAUUCUCCGGACAAAGUUUUCAUUCUUGUAUCCUUUGACCUUCAAGUGUGUCCUUGACCUCAGACCUACGGACCUGGUUCUUGCGCAUGACACUCCCUCUAAUGAUGAUCAAAUGUGCCAAGUUUCAUCACAAUCCCUUCAUGCAUGGAAAAAAAAUGCUCCAGACAAAGUUUGCAUUCUUCUAUCAUUUGACCUCCAAGUGUGACCUUAGACCUGCGGACCUGGUUCUUGCGCAUGUCCCUCCGUCUGAUGAUGGUGAACAAUUGUGCCAAGUUACAUCAAAAUCCCUCAUUGCAUGAAGAAGAUAUGCUCAGGACAAAGUCAUUCUUGAAUUUGACCUCUGACCUCAAAGAGUGAUCUUGACCUUAGACCUAGGGACCUGGUUUUUGAGCAUGACACCGUUUGAUGAUGGUGAACAAUUGUGCCAAGUUACAUCAAAAUGCAUGUAGAAAUUUGCUCUGGACAAAGUCCGGACGCCGCCCGGCCACCCAUCAGGGGCGUUCCCAUAAUACGUCCCGUUUUUCAAACGGGCGUAUAAUAAAAAGUAAAAAAACAAAAGCAUAUCCAGUCCUCAUUAUAUCUUACUUUCCAGAUACCCUCUGAGUUCAUAUUCGAAUAAGAGUUUGAGAGUUUAGUACCUAGAUGUACAUAAUUAUAAAUCUGGUAUACAUGUAGUCCGAUACAAAAAUCGGAUGUGUAUAUAUCACGGCAGUUGUUACGACGUGUAGAUACGAUAGGGUCGCAUAACGAAAUUUCCUAAGCUGCACUCGAACAAAAAUUCGAUAUUACGAAAUAAUAAUGCCGGUUCCUUGGCCUUUCGUAGGACCGCGAUUGUACUGUAUAUACCAAUUGAAACUAUUUAUAAUUCACAUAUCUUCGCAUUCAAAUGUAGAUCCGUAUCGAUAAAAAUUGUAUUCAGACUGUUUGAAACGGUGGGUUUAUCUGGUGGCAAUCAUUAUAUUUCAGUAAUCCACUUAAAACGCAACUUGUUUUGAUUCUACACCUUUGUUAUUUUGAUACCGAUACCUUGUAAAAUGACAGGUUUAAUUGUUCCAUUGGGAAUUGACAAAAUCAGUGAUCUAACAGCGUUGACGUUUUGCCAAAAUUAAAAAUUAUCAUGUCAUAAUAUUUAAAAAAAAACCUGCAUGUCGUAUUGGCCCGAUGCCCGUGAUAAAUGAAAUAACACUACACCAACACCAAAAAAAAGCUAUUAAAUUAAAAAGAAUCGGAAUGUUUAAUAUUAAUUUUCAGAUAUAUAUAAUAGAAAAUAUUAAAAGUCACUCCUGGACAAGUAUAUAAUAAAUAAAUCUAUCUGUUUUUCUGUCUACCUACCGGUUUUAUAUCAAAAUCACCAGGGCAGACAUAUAAAAAAUGUGUAGUUGCUACGCAACGUCACAUGUGUACUCAUGUGUACGCAACGUUAUUUUAUAUAUAAACGUUUGAAACAUAAGAAUGAUGCGUAGAUCUAUAAUAACGUGUCAGUACAUGUAGGAAGUGUGCCUUCUGGUCACAGUGGCAAACUCCUUUCUUAACGGUCUCUGGUCAUUAUCGUCAGAAGGCAACCUUGGGACCGUUUAUUACCUUUUCAUCUUAAAAUAUCAUACCUUAACAUAAAAAGUAACAAAAAAAAUAUCGUGAAAACUGUCAUUAUAGUUGCAAUUUAGAUACCAACACUGGCAAAGUAUGUAUAACUCGUACACCCUGGGUAAUCAAAAAGUUCAGGUGUACUGACAUCGACGUAAUAUAUUAACGUCCCUAAGAAGGCGCAUUUAUCUCCUACUCAAUGAAGGAGUUCCCCUUGUUUCAAAGCUCGUUAUAUCCCGGGAAUUGACCAGACAUGGAAGUGACAUAGAUUUCUUUUGCUUCAAAGUAAAGACCAACUAAAAAAGAAUUAUCGUCUGAAUGAAUCAGAAAUUGAAGUAUUGUAUCCUGCCGAUGGAAACACAAACAUAGACAAGUGUAACUGGAAUAUGUUCACAAGUGUAAUUCUUACAAUAUUUCGUACCUCCCUUCUACAAAAUGAAAGAAAGCAAAUACGAAAUAUUCACAAUAUUCAAAAAGAUCUGUGUACCAAUUCAGACGAGUACGCGUUAGAUGUUGAGACAUUUGACGACCAUAAAACAACACUAGAAGAUACACUUUCAGCGCUUGCCUUUGACGAAAAAGUAAAAUCCGAAGUUGAUGAUUUGAUCAAUAUGUAUACCAUCAGGCCAUUGAAUGCUGCAGAUGUGCUGCAACAUAUUGAAGACAUCAAUAUGCCUGGAGACCCACGACAACAAUUGGAAAUCUUUCUUCAUUCCCUUCCCCCUGCCAUAGAAGACGAUGAUGAUAAUACUAGCGUUGUUGUUUAUGAAGACAAGUCCAAUGAUACCGGUACCUCCACAAACAUCCUUGAAAAAGGUAAACAAGAAGUGUCUUCAGUUUCUCACAGCAAAGAUUAUGAAGGUAAGAUCUUGGACUUAUUGAAUAAUAAUCAUUGGUCAACAGACGUCAUGUGGAGACAGGAUAUAUUCCAUAUCCUGCAAGUACAUUUCAGAUAUGAAUUUGGGUUAAAAACAAAAUGUCUGCUGCAUCGCUAGCGUAAUUGAAUAAAGUAAGAUUAUAAGCUCCUACUAUAGGUAUCAUUUCUGAGGUAAAAACUUCAGUGUUUUCUUGCCGUUCUAUAUUUUCCUAUCUAAAUUAGGUUCGUGAAGUUAGUGGAAAUAGAAAAACAGUAACUUUGUAUAGGACGGCCGCGAUCGCCAGGUUGAAAUGUUGUUUUAGUUCAAUUAUCGUAAACCAAAGGAAUUAACACAUUUGUAAGACAGUAGUUUGUUGUAGGAUCAUACAUUAAUCUACCUGCAAGAUAAAGGAAUUAACAGGAAACGGGACGAAUCCGAAUUUUAAGACAUUUCUGAUAUCGUGUAAUUUGAUAAUUUUUCGAAAGGAUGGAAUAUAAAAGUUUUUCAAUACCAGUUCAUGGCCUGUAUAAAUGAGCUUCUGUGUUUUGUGAUUCAGUCAAAAUACAGUUCAUUUUGCAUUUUAUGGCUGGUGUUAAUCCACCAUAAUCAAAGCAUGAUAACCAGAGAAGAUUGCGGGAUUCAAGUAUGCACUGUUAGUUGCUUUAUUAAUAUAAAAUUUAUGUCAAUUGCAGUCAGCGAGGAUGUAAAAGGUUAGUCGGCAAGAUAAAAUCGUUACACUGCUUGUUGGUGAUAGGAUCCCGUAUCCUGUCGCCAACAAGCAAUGUAACAAAUAAUAUUUGAUAUGUAAAACUCCAUAUUUCUGGCAUAACUUAACUAACGCGAUAAAUAUAUUGUUACCACAACAUUUCCGUAACAUUUAUCUGGAUAAUGUGAAACUAUGUAAUGGUUAUACUUAUUAUAGUAUUUUAGUGAAUACAAAUGAAUUUACAACAGAUAAAUAAGCAAUAUUAUUCAUUUCUAAUGUUGAUGGAAUUCGAGAAUUUUUCUUUCAGUGAUAGAUACUAAGCUAACAUUGAGUGGAGCUGUAAAUGAAAAGCAAUGACAUAGACUUUGUUGAGGGAAUCAUCACAACGGUUAUUAAUAAAGCAAAAAAGAAAGUCGGAAAUGAAAAUGACUAUCCGAGAAUUCGCAGCGUUGUUGACAAGGUUCUUAAAGACAUUGGAAACAUGCCUGAUGUGGAAAUACAACCAGCGGAACACAAAUGCAUCCUUCUUAAAUUUAGAUGUACAACUUAUAUAGGUAUAUUAAACACGAUGAUGUAUUUGGAGAGCAGAAGUUUCCUGGAUUCUCUACAUGAUCUUGACCGUGCAUUGAGUUCCGUUCCUCCUUAUGUGAGCGGUCAAUUUAGACUUGAUGCGACAGUCACGCCAGAAUGUAUGAAGAACCUGCUAGAUGAUCUAAGUGGAAAAUCAACAACAAUAUCACAAACAGCUGUUGAAGACAAUGCUAGUUCUCCUCAAAGACAUCAGAACAAAUCAGUUGAUGAAGGUAAAAAAUCAACAGAAGUGUCACAAACAACUGUUGAAGACAAUGCUAGCACUCCACAGAGACAGCAGAGCAAAUCCGUUGAUGAAGAUAUACAAACACUCUUGAGGUACCAACAGUAAUUACGUCCACAUAUGCUCACAUCAUGCUGAUAGAGAUCCUCAGCUCAUAUGGUAGCCAGGGUUUAGCAGUGAACUGACUCAAAAGAUGCCAUUUAGUGAUUUAAUGUGGAUAAUUCAGAUCAUUUACCAAUGAUGUACAACACUGAUGGAACUGAAGGCAAUACUUGCACUGACGGCCAGGGCUGGUUAUAUAUAAUUAGAUGUACCUCCUGAUGCACCUCCUUAAACACGAGAUUUCUGCCAUGUGAAAGGAGCAAGUUGAAAGACACACUGUUGGAGAUGGGGUCCAUGGACCUUAUGUAUACAGCUAUAUGAACAAGGGCUGGAACAAAGCAGACAAGACUGGACUUUUAUUGUUAAUGAAUAUUUUAAGUUGUAUGUCACCAGUAUAAUAGGGUUAUUAUAAAAGUGGUUAGAUCUUGGAUGUGGUAUUUGGCUUGGGGUGCAUUUUGCCAGACCUGGAACACACGAGGCCUGCAAGCGCAAAGUCUGACCCGCUGUGGUAAAAUCGCCAAAGGCCUGAUACAACCGCCUAGAUCAAGCUACUGUAACAGUUAUAAUCGUACUUUAUUUUUUUAUCUCCAUGUACUAAAAAUCAUUUCUCAAAAAUACCCGUUACAGGUGAUAUAUUAAAUUUGGUACGCCUUUAAAGUUUAAAUUCAUGUUGUUCUUGUUUAUAAACAGUUGAUUACCGCGCCUUGUUUACAUGUGGAAUUUAUUGUUUGAAAGCGAAAUAAAAUGUUUAAAAUGAAUGAGAAAAUGUCAGUAUAAAAAGCUUGCACUUUUAUGUUAAGGGAGUAGUGACAGGAAAUUUUGCUUUUUUUGUAGCUCAACCUGAUCACAAAGUGCUCGGGGUGAGUAAUUGUUAUCACUCAUUGCAUGUCUGUCCGCCCGUCCAUACGAUUCUUAACCUACAUCUCUUAAAUCAUUUGGUGGCAGGCAGAUGAUGAAACUUGGCUUGGAUGUCCUCUAGAUAUUCCUGCCUUUCCCUAGGGAAAAACCUUGUUUAAAAUAUCGUGCACUUAGGUGACGUCACUUAGUACUGUAACUAUUAUGACGUCAUAAACUAUAUAAAUUUUGUUAGGAAAACACAGAUCUAUUUGCCUCCGUGAUCUAAUUUUAACGUGAUGGGCAAGAAAAAUUAUCUAACAUGUCUGCAUGUGUAAGACAGCUGUUUCCCUAUCCUCGGGACAGCUCGGAUAACGCUUGGUUUUUCAUUCCACACUAUCCCUCGUGGUAGAGAAAAACCUGUCUUACAUAGGCAGGCAUGUAAGAUCCUUAUAGUCUUGUUAUGCAUAUUAUUGGUAUGCUCAGCUUCAGUGAUUUUCAGUGAAGUUCUAUUGAUUUGUUAUAUUUUAUCUUGUUUAUACUACUUGCUGUAAACAAUUAGGCUGAAUUUCACCAAAUCUCGCAAGUGAUUAGUGUGGAGCAAAGUUGUGCAUAUUUUCUUCAUGUUUUAAUAAAUAAUUUUUAUCAGAGUCAUGACCCUUGAUUUGUCAGAAUCUUUGAUCUGUGCUACUUCUCCUAUAUCACUGGUUGGAAUUCCAAAAUACUUAAGGAUACACUAAGGGUAAAAUGGCAUGUUUAGACAUUUUUUGUUUUUAUUUAAUAUAAAUUCACCAUACUUUCCUCUAUAAAUUGAAAAAAAAAAUGAAUUUAAAAGAUCAAAUAUAAAACAUUAUUAGAUAAUUUUCCAGGAUAAACAGUAAAUAUCUGACAUUUGUUUACAAUAAAACCUUUGUGAGAAGAGCAGCCAUAUUAUAACAUCUGCAAAUUCCCGAGGGAUCGUUUGGUGCUCAAGUCCGGUAAGGCGAGGGUACCAACGUAUCCUAUGGGAUUCUGCAGAUGUUAUAACACAAACUGAACAUGCGCUAACGCUAUUCUAGCAUAUAACACGUAAAAACGAAUAAAUGAAUAUAUUGUCGCUCAACGUUAUUGAAUUUCCAUGAAAUGCGUGGGAAUGUAGGAGCUUUUGGUUAGCUUUAAUGGUGAGCUUUUGUGACAACGCAAUAUCCGUUUUCUGUCCGUCAACAUUUACUAAAAAAUCUUCUUGAAAACCACUAGGCAGAUUUACGCCAAUUUUGAUGAAACUUUGCAGGAAUGAUCCUUGGGUGGUCCCCUUUCAAAAUUUUUCAAAAAAAUUGAAUUACACACAGAUCUCUGGUUACCAUGGCAACCAAAAGGAAAACUUUAAAAAUACUCCUGUUCAAACCCCCAAGGCAUGUGACAUCAUCUAAUGGACGUAUUAUGUUAUGGUCCCGGUGUCCGUCUGUCUGUCGGCCCGUCCGUCCAUUAGCAAUUUCGUGUUUGCUCUGUAACUCUUGAACUCCUUGAAGGAUUUCAAAGAAACUUGACACAAAUGUUCACCACACCAAGACGACAUGCAGAUCCAUGUUUCGGAUGUCUCAUGUUAAGGUCAAGGUCACACUUUUGGGUCAAAUGUCAUAUGAGUGUGUUUCAUGUCCGCACUGUAACUGUAAAUUUCGUGUUUGCUCUGUAACUCUUGAACUGCUUGAAAGAUUUCAAAGAAACUUGGCACAAAUGUUCCCCACACUGAGACAACUUGCAGAGCGCUUGUUUCGGAUGACUAGCUUCAAGGUCAAGGUCACACUUAGGAGUGAAAGGUCAUAUAUGACAUUGCUGUGUCCGCUCUGUAACUCUUGAACUGCUUGAAGGAUUUCAAAGAAACUUGGCACAAAUAUUCACCACACUGGGGCGAUGUGCAGAGCACAUGCUUUGGAUAACUCGCUUCAAGGUCAAGGUCACACUUAAGGGUCAAAGUCAUAUAUGACUGCUUUGUGUAUAUUGCAGUGCUCUUGUUUUUAUUUGGCAGAUCCCUUUUCGUUCCCUUACAAAAUAUUUUUUUUUGAAUAAUUUCCCUUAUUUGUAACUAUAAAUAGCUUAUUUUGAAAGUUUUUAGCUCACCUGUCACGGAGUGACAAGGUGAGCUUUUGUGAUCGCACUUCGUCCGGCGUCCGUUGUCCGUCCGUAAACUUUUUUUUUAAACGACAUCUCCAGGACCUCAUAAACCGCUGGGCCAAUUUCAUCCAAACUUCAUAGAAAUGUUCCUUGGAUGAAGCCCUACAAAAAGUGUUCAAAGAAUUGAAUUCCAUGCAGAAAUCUGGUUGCCAUGGCAACCGAAAGGAACAAAAAUUAAAAUUUUCUUCCCAAAAACCAGAAGCCCUAGAGCUUAGAUAUUUGAUGUGAAGCAUUGCCUAAUGGACCUCUACCAAGUUUGUUCAAGUCAUGACCAUGGGGUCAAAAUUGACACCGCCCGAGGGAUCAUGUGAUUUUACAUAGGAAAAUCUUAAAAACUCUUCUUCUCAAAAACUAGAAGCCCUAGAGCUUAGAUAUUUGACAUGUAGCAUUGCCUAGUGGACUUCUAGUAAAGUUGUUCAAAUCAUGAUCCCGGGGUCAAAAUUGAACCCGCCCCAGGGGUCAAUUGAUUUUACAUAGAUUUCUAUAGGAAAAUCUUAACAAAAACUUUAAAUAAUUCUGAUUCUUCAAAAACAUUGCUGCCAGGGGGCGUGGUUACUUUUCCUCUCAUGUAUACCGUACUUGUCCAAAUUAUUGCUUUAAGGUAAAAAAAAAAUGGCCACGCCCCUGUGUCUGACAUGUACUUAUUAUAGGCUUUUAUAUUAGAAACUUUGAAAAUCUUUUUCUCUAAUAGCUAGAGCCUUGAUAUUUGGGGCGUGUAAUAUCAGUUUUGUAAUGUCUACUGCAAUUGUUCAGAUUUUUGCCCUAGGUUCAAAAGUGUGUGUGACAUGUAUAUAAUAUAGGCUUGCAUAGAAGAAACCUAACUCUGACUUAUACAAACACACUUGAAGCCUUGUACAAAGGUUAGUAGGGCUUUAGGGUCAAUGACUCUCUUGUUAUAUAUUAAAGAUUAUUGUCUUAAAAACAAGCUGAAAUUUAUAGAACUUCUAGCCCCAGUUUCACGAAAACUUUAAUAAUUGCUUAGCUAUGUCUGUUAUUUUAGAUGCAUGUUUUUGCCCUUUAUGUGUCUUAAAUGUUGACUUUUUUUAGCUCAACUGAGCCAAAGGCUCAGGGUGAACUAUUGUGAUCGCUCACCAUCCGGCGUCUGUCCCCACUUUCCUUUAAACAACAUCUCGUCCUAAACCACCAGGCCAAUUUUGAUGAAACUUCACAGGGAUGUUCCUUAAAUGGUCUUCUUAAAAAACUGAAUUUUAUACAGAACUCUAGCUGCCAUGGCAACUGAAAGGAAACACUUUAAAAAUCUUCUUGUCAAAAACCACAGGGCCAAAGACUUUGAUGUUUGACAUGUAGCAUCAUAUAGUGGUCCUCUAGGAAGAUUAAUCAAAUUAUCCCCCUAGG